AGGGGACGAACAGUUGGAAACGACUGCUAAUACCGCAUACGAUCUAAUCUCGGCAUCGGGAGUGGAUAGAAAGGGUGGCCUCUAUUUAUAAGCUAUCACUGAAGGAGGGGAUUGCGUCUGAUUAGCUAGUUGGAGGGGUAACGGCCCACCAAGGCGAUGAUCAGUAGCCGGUCUGAGAGGAUGAACGGCCACAUUGGGACUGAGACACGGCCCAG
rnacentral:rRNA from 1 species